rnacentral:rRNA from 1 species
AUUGAACGCUGGCGGCAGGCCUAACACAUGCAAGUCGAACGGUAACAGGAAGAAGCUUGCUUCUUUGCUGACGAGUGGCGGACGGGUGAGUAAUGUCUGGGAAACUGCCUGAUGGAGGGGGAUAACUACUGGAAACGGUAGCUAAUACCGCAUAAUGUCGCAAGACCAAAGAGGGGGACCUUCGGGCCUCUUGCCAUCGGAUGUGCCCAGAUGGGAUUAGCUAGUAGGUGGGGUAACGGCUCACCUAGGCGACGAUCCGUAGCUGGUCUGAGAGGAUGACCAGCCACACUGGAACUGAGACACGGUCCAGACUCCUACGGGAGGCAGCAGUGGGGAAUAUUGCACAAUGGGCGCAAGCCUGAUGCAGCUAUGCCGCGUGUAUGAAGAAGGCCUUCGGGUUGUAAAGUACUUUCAGCGGGGAGGAAGGGAGUAAAGUUAAUACCUUUGCUCAUUGACGUUACCCGCAGAAGAAGCACCGGCUAACUCCGUG